UCUAUGAGGACUUACUAGGGCUCAGGAUAAAAAUAGAUUGGUCAUAAAAGAUUGCCUCUCCUAUAAAACUAUGAUGCAAUGUAGGCUGCUAUUAUGAGGGAUUACAUCACCCAAACAUUGUAAUAUCAAUGUAGGUGGCAUUCCACACAGAAUUGCCUCGCCUAAACAUUACAUAAUUAAUUAAAAUAGGAUGCAUUCUCAGUUUGUUAUCAUCAUCACUGCCCAUCUAAAAAAACAUAAACCAAAAGAACAAAUACCAGAAUUGAGUACCAAAGAAAGCCAUCUGUCAUUAAGCUCAAACCGACCAUAAUAUAUCACAAGAAGCCAACACCAACAAAUCAAGCAAAAAUCCAACAAAUCAAGCAAAAUCCGACGAAAUCCAUCAAGGAAGGCAGUGAAUCACAAAUUAAUAUGGACAUGCAGACUCAAAAAGUACACAAAUUAAUU